rnacentral:ncRNA from 1 species
CCGAAGAGAGACCUUGGAUGGUCCACCGAAGGAGCAAGCCCGUAGCGGGUGAAUCUCUCAGGUUCAGUGACGGCGGGGG